UACGUAGGCAGCAAGCGUUGUUCGGAAUUACUGGGCGUAAAGAGUGUGUAGGCGGUGCUCUAAGUUCGGUGUGAAAUCUCCCGGCUCAACUGGGAGGGUGCGCCGGAAACUGGGGUGCUGGAGCGCGGGAGAGGAAAGCGGAAUUCCUGGUGUAGCGGUGAAAUGCGUAGAUAUCGGGAAGAACACCAGUGGCGAAAGCGCUCUACUGGGCCAUAACUGACACUGAGGGACGAAAGCUAGGGGAGCGAAAGGG
rnacentral:rRNA from 1 species